rnacentral:rRNA from 1 species
UACGGAGGGGGCUAGCGUUGUUCGGAAUUACUGGGCGUAAAGCGCACGUAGGCGGAUCAGUAAGUUAGAGGUGAAAAGCCCAGGGCUCAACCCUGGAACUGCCUUUGAUACUGCUGGUCUGGAGGUCGAGAGAGGUGAGUGGAAUUCCGAGUGUAGAGGUGAAAUUCGUAGAUAUUCGGAGGAACACCAGUGGCGAAGGCGGCUCACUGGCUCGAUACUGACGCUGAGGUGCGAAAGCGUGGGGAGCAAACAGG